rnacentral:sRNA from 1 species
CACCAGAAGGAUGUCGAUGAGGUUGUC